GUCCACGCCCUAAACGAUGCAUGCUUGGUGUGGGUGAUUCAGUUCAUCCGUGCCGGAGCUAACGCGUUAAGCAUGCCGCCUGGGGAGUACAGUCGCAAGGCUGAAACUCAAAGGAAUUGACGGGGGCCUGCACAAGCGGUGGAGCAUGUGGUUCAAUUCGACGCAACGCGAAGAACCUUACCUGGGCUCGAACGGCUGGUCAACGAUCGUGGAAACACGGUUACCCCGCAAGGGGGUCCAGUCGAGGUGCUGCAUGGCUGUCGU
rnacentral:rRNA from 1 species